rnacentral:lncRNA from 1 species
CCCUUUUCACCAUUCUCAUCCUCUUCACCUUUGCCACCUUCAUCCUUUAAUCCACCUCAUUUGUCUUCUCCAUUGAUUGCUCCAUCCCUAUCCUAGCAUCCAUCUCUCACUUGAACUUUCCCGUCAUCUUGUCUGGAAAAUAAGGUCGUUCGCACUUAUAACUACAUCCAUAGCCUCUAUCAAGUCACUCGAAAUUCCCUAUACCAUCACUGACAUUUGUCUACAUAAAAUCAAAUAAAACAUCAAACGUAGUAGAACGUGGGUGCACAACAGGUGAAGGUUAAUGCUGUGUAGGAGACUAACUGAAGGAUAGAGACGGAGAUCUAUGUGCCACAUGACGACGCACCUAUGAAUAUAAGAAAAGUAAAAUUAUUACAAUUUCAUCACAACAAAUAAUAAUAAUUAUAACUAUAAAUAAACAUACCUCUUUAGCAGGUGUCUGUAGAUCGGUAUCACUCUAGGUGGAGAAGAUGAUGUGCAUGGUGGCAGAGAUCAUCCUGCAAUAGAAGAGAGCUCAUAAACA